rnacentral:rRNA from 1 species
UACGAAGGGUGCUAGCGUUGUUCGGAAUCACUGGGCGUAAAGCGCGUGUAGGCGGAUCUUUAAGUCUGGUGUGAAAGCCCGGGGCUCACCCCCGGAAGUGCAUUGGAAACUGAUGGACUCGAGUCCCGGAGAGGAGAGUGGAAUUCCUGGUGUAGCGGUGAAAUGCGUAGAUAUCAGGAGGAACACCGGUGGCGAAGGCGGCUCUCUGGACGGUGACUGACGCUGAGACGCGAAAGCGUGGGGAGCAAACAGG